GAUGAACGCUAGCGGCAGGCCUAAUACAUGCAAGUCGAACGGUCCGCUUCGGCGGAUAGUGGCGCACGGGUGCGUAACACGUAUGCAACCUACCUUACAUUGGGGGAUAGCCUUUCGAAAGGGAGAUUAAUACCGCAUAAGACAGUAGCUGGGCAUCCAGUAGCUGUUAAAGAUUUAUCGAUGUAAGCUGGGCAUGCGUCCAAUUAGUUAGUUGGUGAGGUAAUGGCUCACCAAGACGAUGAUUGGUAGGGGAACUGAGAGGUCAAUCCCCCACACUGGCACUGAGAUACGGGCCAGACUCCUACGGGAGGCAGCAGUAGGGAAUAUUGGGCAAUGGACGCAAGUCUGACCCAGCCAUGCCGCGUGCAGGAAGAAGGCGUUCUGCGUUGUAAACUGCUUUUAUAUAGGAAGAAACGACCCUUGCGAGGGGCAUUGACGGUAUUAUAUGAAUAAGCACCGGCUAACUCCGUGCCAGCCGCCGCAGUAAAAC
rnacentral:rRNA from 1 species